rnacentral:rRNA from 1 species
AUUGAACGCUGGCGGCAGGCCUAACACAUGCAAGUCGAGCGGAUGAAGGGAGCUUGCUCCUGGAUUCAGCGGCGGACGGGUGAGUAAUGCCUAGGAAUCUGCCUUGUAGUGGGGGAUAACGUCCGGAAACGGGCGCUAAUACCGCAUACGUCCUGAGGGAGAAAGUGGGGGAUCUUCGGACCUCACGCUAUCAGAUGAGCCUAGGUCGGAUUAGCUAGUUGGUGGGGUAAAGGCCUACCAAGGCGACGAUCCGUAACUGGUCUGAGAGGAUGAUCAGUCACACUGGAACUGAGACACGGUCCAGACUCCUACGGGAGGCAGCAGUGGGGAAUAUUGGACAAUGGGCGAAAGCCUGAUCCAGCCAUGCCGCGUGUGUGAAGAAGGUCUUCGGAUUGUAAAGCACUUUAAGUUGGGAGGAAGGGCAGUAAGUUAAUACCUUGCUGUUUUGACGUUACCAAAAGAAUAAGCACCGGCUAACUUCGUG